rnacentral:rRNA from 1 species
GAUGAACGCUAGCGGGAGGCUUAACACAUGCAAGUCGAGGGGCAGCAUAGGGUAGCAAUACUCUGAUGGCGACCGGCGCACGGGUGAGUAACACGUAUGUAACCUACCCUUUACAGGGGGAUAACCCGGAGAAAUUCGGAUUAAUACCCCAUAAUGAUAUUUUGAGGCAUCUUUAAAUAUUUAAAGCUUCGGCGGUACAGGAUGGGCAUGCGUGACAUUAGCGAGUUGGUAAGGUAACAGCCUACCAAGGCUUCGAUGUCUAGGGGUCCGGAGAGGGUGAGCCCCCACACUGGUACUGAGACACGGACCAGACUCCUACGGGAGGCAGCAGUGAGGAAUAUUGGUCAAUGGGCGUAAGCCUGAACCAGCCAUCCCGCGUGAAGGAAGAAGGCGCUAUGCGUUGUAAACUUCUUUUCCGGAGGAAUAAAAUUUCAUACGUGUAUGGAACUGAAGGUACCCCGGGAAUAAGCAUCGGCUAACUCCGUGCCAGCCGCCGCGGUAAAAC